rnacentral:lncRNA from 1 species
CCGGGCUGAGGGCGGGGCCGGGCCGGGCCACCGGGCACGGUCGGAGUCUGGCCCCGAUCCCUGUCCCUCUCGGCGAAUUUCCGAGGGGCUGCGUGCUGUGAGGUGGUGUGCGGCUCCCUCGGACAGCUGCGAGCCGCUAACAGUGCACAAAAUGUCAGAUAAAUAAUCUGUUCUUUCCCCUUAAUAUUACUUUUUUAGCGAAGACCGCAAUUCCACGGGCUCUUUUCAGUUCAUUUGCGGAGUAGUCGGAAGUCCCGCAGGAAAAUCCACACUGUUUCUCCCAACAUGCGAGGCCAACCUUACGCAAAGGAGAAAACAAGUGCCUACAGGGCUACUUAUGACGGCAAAUACUGAAGAAAAAGCUUACGGGCGGUGGCACCGUUCUGCUAAGUGAGGUCAGGAGAAGUCCGGAGCAAUGACGCUCAACAAGCCCAAAAUACUUCAGUCAGCACUGAUGGAUUUCGUGACUUCCCAGUGUGAAGGUGUCGCUGUUUGCGUCAACUGCCGUUGCUGACACACUUACCCUGUGCUGGGUGUUCUUUCCCGCCCGAGGUUAGUCCUGCCCAGAGGUUGCUGCCUGUGGAAUCACCCUGGGGGAUUUAGCACACUGAAAAGCAAGACAGCUCUUCCAAGAGUUCAGGAUGCAAUCCACUCCUGGGACUUUAGACUCUGGGAAUUAAUCCCACGGGAGAUUUGACAGGCCAAAUCUCACACACAAAUACCAUGGACAUGGAUAAAAUAGCCAAAGAGCUCAUCUGUAGCAAGAGAGAUGGAUUUAGUAAAACACGGUAAUAUUUUCAAAAUAGAUUCUUGCAUUGUUUUGUUCUGUAUGACGUAAGGAACAGUUGGGAAUGAGAUUACUGGGUUUGAAGAGCAUUAGAGAGUACAGAAGGUGGAGAUGACCAUUAAAUACCUGCCACUUUCUCAGUUCACUUGGACCAUAGCUCUGUGAGGGAAGGAAUUGCACAGGCGUUUUUCAAAGCUUUCUUUCAAACUAACAGGCAUUCUCUGCUUUUUGGGACAAUCAGAAGAGAUUCUCUAACAGCUGGGACAUUCUUGUGCUAGGAGCACAGUCACAUGCUUGU